AUGAAAGUGAACGUCUGUUUUUUUCCAUCAGUACAUCACGAGCACUGGAUAUUGUUUAUUGUUGAUAUUGUUGCAAGAAAAUUCAUUUUCCUAGAUUCAGUUUAUUAUGGCGAGUCACCCUUUCACAUGGAGGUAAAAGAUUUGAUGAUAAACAAUUUUAUCAAAACAUGGGAAGAGUCGAGACUCGGGAGAAUGGGGUUCAGAAACUUUGGUAUAGAAUACCCAAACAUGCCUAAGCAAAUUGGAAGAGAUGCUUGCGGGAUUUUUGUGCUCAAGUGGAUGCAAACUUUUGCUUCGCGGAAUCCUCUCCAGCCCCAAUUCAGGAUGAAGGACGUGGCAGAUGCAAGGGUCAGACUUGCUGUUGAUAUCCUCUUCAGCAAUCAUAACACUGAUGAUGAUGCCAAAAGACUUGUCAAGUACUUUCGUCAAUAA
rnacentral:rRNA from 1 species